rnacentral:rRNA from 1 species
GCCCCACGGAAACCACGACCAAAAAAGUACGAGCACAGCUUGAAACUUCAAGGACCUGGCGGUACUCGAUAUCAGCCUAGAGGGGCCUGUCUAGUAACCGAUAAUCCACGAAAAACCCAACCUUUUCUAGCCCACAUAGCCUAUAUACCGCCGUCCACAGCACAUUUUACAAAAAAUGCAGCCCAACAGACCAUUCCCCCUAAAACGUCAGGUCAAGGUGUAGCAUAUGAAAAGGGUAAGAUUGGCCACAGUAUCACACCACAUAGAGCAAACCACAAUGAAACGGCAUGAUUCACAACGGAUUUAGCAGUAAGAAGAUUAAUGAAUACUCCUCUGAAACCUACCACGCUCUCGAGUACGU